AUGCCAUGAUGGGGGCACUUCCUUAACAAUUCCUUGAAUCUUUCCCAUGCAUCAUACAAUGAUUCCCCCUCCAUUUUACAUAAAUUAUUAAUUUAUCCUCUUAACUU